rfam:Ictidomys tridecemlineatus contig076166, whole genome shotgun sequence.
GGACUUGUGGCUCAGUGGUAGAGCGCUUGCCUAGCAUGUAUGAGGCACUGGGUUCAAUCGCCAGCACCA